rnacentral:rRNA from 1 species
AUUGAACGCUGGCGGCAGGCCUAACACAUGCAAGUCGAACGGCAGCACGGGAGCAAUCCUGGUGGCGAGUGGCGAACGGGCGAGUAAUAUAUCGGAACGUGCCCAGUAGUGGGGGAUAACUGCUCGAAAGAGCAGCUAAUACCGCAUACGACCUGAGGGUGAAAGGGGGGGAUCGCAAGACCUCUCGCUAUUGGAGCGGCCGAGAUCAGAUUAGGUAGUUGGUGGGGUAAAGGCCUACCAAGGCAACGAUCUUUAGUUGGUCUGAGAGGACGCCCAGCCACACUGGGACUGAGACACGGGCCAGGAUCCUACGGGAGGCAGCAGUGGGGAAUUUUGGACAAUGGGCGCAAGCCUGAUCCAGCAAUGCCGCGUGCAGGAAGAAGGCCUUCGGGUUGUAAACUGCUUUUGUCAGGGAAGAAAUCCUCUAGGUUAAUACCCUUGGGGGGAUGACGGUACCUGAAGAAUAAGCACCGGCUAACUACGUGCCAGCCGCCGCAGUAAUAC